rnacentral:rRNA from 1 species
UCGCAUCUACUGAUUAGAUUGUAUCGUGAGUUAGGUGGAGGAAGUGCGAAACGAUUCCUCGUUUUGUAUUUCUCAAACCUUGCAAACGGUACUGUCCAGAGGCAGAUA